rnacentral:sRNA from 1 species
UAGCUAGGAAAUUAUCUGCAAUAGCAUA